rnacentral:rRNA from 1 species
GUUUAUUUGAUAGUACCUUACUACAUGGAUACCUGUGGUAAUUCUAGAGCUAAUACAUGCUGAAAACCUCGACUUCGGAAGGGGUGUAUUUAUUAGAUAAAAAACCAAUGCCCUUCGGGGCUCCUUGGUGAAUCAUAAUAACUUAACGAAUCGCAUGGCCUUGCGCCGGCGAUGGUUCAUUCAAAUUUCUGCCCUAUCAACUUUCGAUGGUAGGAUAGUGGCCUACCAUGGUGGCAACGGGUAACGGGGAAUUAGGGUUCGAUUCCGGAGAGGGAGCCUGAGAAACGGCUACCACAUCCAAGGAAGGCAGCAGGCGCGCAAAUUACCCAAUCCCGACACGGGGAGGUAGUGACAAUAAAUACUGAUACGGGGCUCUAUUGGGUCUCGUAAUUGGAAUGAGUACAAUCUAAAUCCCUUAACGAGGAACAAUUGGAGGGCAAGUCUGGUGCCAGCAGCCGCGGUAAUUCCAGCUCCAAUAGCGUAUAUUAAAGUUGUUGCAGUUAAAAAGCUCGUAGUUGAACCUUGGGUCUGGCUGGCCGGUCCGCCUCACCGCGAGUACUGGUCCGGCUGGACCUUUCCUUCUGGGGAAUCUCAUGGCCUUCACUGGCUGUGGGGGGAACCAGGACUUUUACUGUGAAAAAAAUUAGAGUGUUCAAAGCAGGCCUUUGCUCGAAUACAUUAGCAUGGAAUAAUAGAAUAGGACGUGCGGUUCUAUUUUGUUGGUUUCUAAG